GACCUGGACUAGAGAUUUGGUUGCUAGGUUCCCUGAACCUCCACCCUUUUUUGUUAAUUCCCUUGUUGCUUUGGCGGAACCGCUCGGCCUCGAGCCGCUGGGGAUUCACUCCCAGGCCACCGCCCGCCAGAUUUAAACCAAACUCUUGUUAUUUAAACGGUCGUCUGAGUUAAAAUUUUGAAUAGAUCCAAACAUUCAACAACGGAUCUCAAGGUUCUCGCAUCGAUGAAGAACGCAGCAAAGUACAUU
rnacentral:misc_RNA from 1 species